rnacentral:tRNA from 1 species
UCACUUUUAAAGGAUCUCAGUUUAACCCGUUAGCCU